rnacentral:rRNA from 1 species
UUGGAGGGCAAGUCUGGUGCCCGCAGCCGCGGUAAUUCCAGCUCCAAUAGCGUAUAUUAAAGUUGUUGUGGUUAAAAAGCUCGUAGUUGAACCUUGGGCCUGGCUGGCCGGUCCGCCUCACCGCGUGCACUGGUCCGGCCGGGCCUUUCCCUCUGCGGAACCCCAUGCCCUUCACUGGGUGUGGCGGGGAAACAGGACUUUUACUUUGAAAAAAUUAGAGUGCUCAAGGCAGGCCUAUGCUCGAAUACAUUAGCAUGGAAUAAUAGAAUAGGGCGUGUGG